ACUGAGAACGGCCUCCACACCUACGGGUGGCAGCAAUCAAGAAUCGUUGGCAAUGGGCGAAAGCCUGACCACGCGACGCCGCGUGCGGGAUGACGCCUUUCGGGGUGUAAACCGCUGUGGUAGGGGAAGAAGCCCAGCUCUAAAUUUUUCUAUAUGCUUAUAGGAGAUUUUAGAGCUGGGUUGACGGUACCCUACUAGAAAGUAGCCGCUAACUUCGUGGCAGACGCGUCGGUGAUACGAAGGCUACAAGCGGUAUCCGGUGUGACUGGGUGUAAAGGGUUCGUAGGCGGUCUAUCAAGUUACUUUUUAAAUAUCUCUGCCCACCAGAGGAAAGGGAAGUAAGACUGUUAGACUGGAGUUAUUUUUAGGGUAAUCGGAAUUAAUAGAGGAGUAGUGAAAUGCGUUGAUACUAUUAGGAACACCAAUGGCGAAGGCAGAUUACUGGAAGAUAACUGACGCUGAGGAACGAAAGCUAGGGGAGCAAACCGGAUUAGAGACCCGGGUAGUCCUAGCCGUAAACGAUGCUCGCUAGUUGCAUUUGCUGUUUUUUUAGCAGUGAGUGUGGCGAAGCUAACGCGUUAAGCGAGCCACCUGGGAAGUACGACCGCAAGGUUGAAACUCAAAGGAAUUGGCGGGGAGACACACAACUAGUGGAUCAUGUGGUUUAAUUCGAUAUGAACCGAAGAACCUUACCAAGGUUUGACAUGCAAUUGCACGCCUCGGGAAACCGAGGAAGCCUUAGAGGGUAUUGCACAGCUGCUGCAUGGCUGUCGUCAGUUCGUUCCGUGAGGAGUGCCCUUAAGUGGGACAACGAACGUAACCCUUGCCCUAUGUUAUAUUUGUCAUAGGGAACUGCCUAGCCGAUGGUUGGGAGGAAGGAGAGGCAGACGUCAAGUCAUCAUGGCGCUUACGCCUUGGGCCACACACAUGAUACAAUGAGAUAGACAAAAGGUAGCCAAACGGUAACGUGGAGCUAAUCCUCUAAACUAUCUCUCAGUGGGGAUAGAGGUCUGAAACUCGACCUCUUGAACAUGGAAUUAGUAGUAAUCGCGGAUCAGCCACGCCGCGGUGAAUACGUUCUUGUCUCUUGCACACACUGCCCGUCAAGCCAACAAAGUCGGGGGUACCUGAAGGCUUACUUUAUGUAGGACGAGGGUAAAAUCGGCGAUGGGGACUAAGUCGUAACAAGGUACCCGUUCUGGAAGGAGCGGGUG
rnacentral:rRNA from 1 species